AAGCCGGAGCCGCAGCGAAAGCGAGUCUGAAUAGGGCGAAUGAGUAUGUAGUUGUAGACCCGAAACCAGGUGAUCUACCCAUGUCCAGGGUGAAGGUAAGGUAACACUUACUGGAGGCCCGAACCCACGCACGUUGAAAAGUGCGGGGAUGAGGUGUGGGUAGCGGAGAAAUUCCAAUCGAACCUGGAGAUAGCUGGUUCUCUCCGAAAUAGCUUUAGGGCUAGCCUCAAGAAGAGAAUCCUGGAGGUAGAGCACUGUUUGGACUAGGGGCCCAUCCCGGGUUACCGAAUUCAGACAAACUCCGAAUGCCAGUGAUUUAUACUUGGGAGUCAGACUGCGAGUGAUAAGAUCCGUAGUCAAGAGGGAAACAGCCCAGACCACCAGCUAAGGUCCCCAAAUAUCCGUUAAGUGGAAAAGGAUGUGGCGUUGCUUAGACAACCAGGAUGUUGGCUUAGAAGCAGCCAUCAUUUAAAGAGUGCGUAAUAGCUCACUGGUCGAGUGACACUGCGCCGAAAAUGUACCGGGGCUAAACGGAUUACCGAAGCUGUGGAUGGACAUCGUAGAUGUCCGUGGUAGGAGAGCGUUCUAAGGGCGUUGAAGUCAGACCGGAAGGACUGGUGGAGCGCUUAGAAGUGAGAAUGCCGGUAUGAGUAACGAAAGACGGGUGAGAAUCCCGUCCACCGAAUGCCUAAGGUUUCCUGAGGAAGGCUCGUCCGCUCAGGGUUAGUCGGGACCUAAGUCGAGGCCGAUAGGCGUAGACGAUGGACAACAGGUUGAUAUUCCUGUACCACCUCCCCGCCGUUUGAGUAAUGGGGGGACGCAGAAGGAUAGGGUGAGCGUGCCGUUGGUUGUGCACGUCCAAGUUGUGAGAUGAGAAACGAGGCAAAUCCCGUUUCUACAUACAUCAAGCAGUGAUGGCAAGAGGUUUAACCUCAGAGUCCCUGAUUUCACACUGCCAAGAAAAGCCUCUAGCGAGGCGGGAGGUGCCCGUACCGCAAACCGACACAGGUAGGCGAGAAGAGAAUUCUAAGGUGAGCGAGUGAACUCUCGUUAAGGAACUCGGCAAAAUGACCCCGUAACUUCGGGAGAAGGGGUGCUCUGGUAGGGUGUUAAAGCCCGAGAGAGCCGCAGUGAAUAGGCCCAGGCGACUGUUUAGCAAAAACACAGGUCUCUGCAAAACCGUAAGGUGACGUAUAGGGGCUGACGCCUGCCCGGUGCUGGAAGGUUAAGGGGAGUGCUUAGCGCAAGCGAAGGUGCGAACCGAAGCCCCAGUAAACGGCGGCCGUAACUAUAACGGUCCUAAGGUAGCGAAAUUCCUUGUCGGGUAAGUUCCGACCCGCACGAAAGGCGUAACGAUCUGGGCACUGUCUCAACGAGAGACUCGGUGAAAUUAUAGUACCUGUGAAGAUGCAGGUUACCCGCGACAGGACGGAAAGACCCCGUGGAGCUUUACUGUAGCCUGAUAUUGAAUUUUGGUGCAACUUGUACAGGAUAGGUAGGAGCCAGAGAACCCGGAGCGCCAGCUUCGGGGGAGGCGUCGGUGGGAUACUACCCUGGUUGUAUUGAACUUCUAACCCACAAGCCUAAGCGGCUUGGGAGACAGUGUCAGGCGGGCAGUUUGACUGGGGCGGUCGCCUCCUAAAGAGUAACGGAGGCGCUCAAAGGUUCCCUCAGAAUGGUUGGAAAUCAUUCGCAGAGUGUAAAGGCACAAGGGAGCUUGACUGCGAGACGGACAGGUCGAGCAGGGUCGAAAGACGGACUUAGUGAUCCGGUGGUUCCGCAUGGAAGGGCCAUCGCUCAACGGAUAAAAGCUACCCCGGGGAUAACAGGCUUAUCUCCCCCAAGAGUCCACAUCGACGGGGAGGUUUGGCACCUCGAUGUCGGCUCAUCGCAUCCUGGGGCUGUAGUCGGUCCCAAGGGUUGGGCUGUUCGCCCAUUAAAGCGGUACGCGAGCUGGGUUCAGAACGUCGUGAGACAGUUCGGUCCCUAUCCGUCGCGGGCGCAGGAAAUUUGAGAGGAGCUGUCCUUAGUACGAGAGGACCGGGAUGGACACACCGCUGGUGUACCAGUUGUUCUGCCAAGAGCAUCGCUGGGUAGCUAUGUGUGGCCGGGAUAAGUGCUGAAAGCAUCUAAGCACGAAGCCCCCCUCAAGAUGAGAUUUCCCAUUGCGCAAGCAAGUAAGAUCCCUCAGAGACGAUGAGGUAGAUAGGUUCGGGGUGGAAGCGUGGCGACACGUGCAGCUGACGAAUACUAAUCGAUCGAGGACUUAACCAAUAAC
rnacentral:rRNA from 1 species